GGGGCAGCACGAGUACUUGUACUUGGUGGCGACCGGCGCACGGGUGCGUAACGCGUAUGCAACCUACCCAUUACUGGGAGAUAGCCCGAGGAAACUCGGAUUAAUACCCCAUAGUAUUAUAGAUUCGCAUGAUGAAAUAAUUAAAGAUUUAUUGGUAAUGGAUGGGCAUGCGUACCAUUAGUUAGUUGGUGAGGUAACGGCUCACCAAGACUACGAUGGUUAGGGGGCCUGAGAGGGUGAUCCCCCACACUGGUACUGAGAUACGGACCAGACUCCUACGGGAGGCAGCAGUAGGGAAUAUUGGUCAAUGGAGGAGACUCUGAACCAGCCAUGCCGCGUGCAGGAAGACGGCCUUCUGGGUUGUAAACUGCUUUUGACAGGGAAGAAAACGGCUAUGCGUAGCUAAUUGACGGUACCUGUAGAAUAAGCACCGGCUAACUCCGUGCCAGCAGCCGCGGUAAUACGGAGGGUGCAAGCGUUGUCCGGAUUUAUUGGGUUUAAAGGGUGCGUAGGUGGCCCAUUAAGUCAGUGGUGAAAUUUUGCAGCUUAACUGUAAAACUGCCAUUGAUACUGGUGGGCUUGAGUAUUGUUGAGGCAGGCGGAAUUUAUGAUGUAGCGGUGAAAUGCAUAGAUAUCAUAAAGAACACCGAUAGCGAAGGCAGCUUGCUAAGCGAUAACUGACACUAAGGCACGAAAGCGUGGGUAGCGAACAGGAUUAGAUACCCUGGUAGUCCACGCCGUAAACGAUGCUCACUCGAUGUAUGCGAUAUUACUGUAUGCGUCCAAGCGAAAGCGUUAAGUGAGCCACCUGGGGAGUACGCUGGCAACAGUGAAACUCAAAGGAAUUGACGGGGGUCCGCACAAGCGGUGGA
rnacentral:rRNA from 1 species